CGUGACCUUGCUCCACCAGCUCAAACCUGCCACUCGCAGCUCAUUUUCGACGGACCGCUUCCAUGAGUGGACAAGGCACCGACGAUCACGGCUUGUAUCACCUGUACUGCUAUGUAAUAUAGUAUGCUGAACACCGCUGUCAUUAUACUAGGAACAACGUCCUGCCCCUUCCCCGGCUGCGCACAAAUUGGAACUCCAUUGGCAUGCCCCUUUGACUGAGCAACUUGUGUAUGUGUGUGUACUCGAAUCACAUUCACUUGCAACAGAAUGACUCCCAGGCUGACCUGGCUCAGUUCCUGUAUGUCUGAUCUACAUAGACAAUGGUUUCAAUGAAAGAGUGAAAAUUCUUCUCCAUGUACAAUCACUUCUAACGCCUACACUGACUACACCAAAUAUGAUCAUCACUCAACGUGUCUCACAUCAAGAUACUUUUUAAAAGUCAUCAAGAAGGAACAUAAUAUCUUUUCCCAUGGUUUCCUGAAUAAUCCUAACUAAAAGUUACUUCUCUAUUCUAUUUUUCCUGCAUGGAGUGGCGUUUUUCCAUCUAAUGGAAACGAAAUGAACAUAUAUGCUCUGGGUUUUUUUGUUUUAGUGCACCUUUUCAAUAUUACUAAUAAAGCAUU
rnacentral:lncRNA from 1 species